CUUGUGAUUGCACCAGGGGAUCGUUACUUGUGAUUAAUGUUUUUAGUUCUUCUUGACAUUUUGUCCAAUCUGUGUCACAAUCUUCCAUGGUUAGUUGUUGUUCAAGCCCAUGAUGUGUGACACAUUUUCCGUUUGGAUAUUGUCCGUUCUUCAACAAUCCCCAGGCGAUCAUGUCCCAGAUGAUGUUUCCGCUGCCGUGAUUUGCUUUCAAGAUACCGCCAAAUAUGGAACCACUGCUGGUUUUUCCUGGUAUCUCCUUCCAAAGCACACUUUUCCAAUUUUAAGGUUUCGUCGACCCCUACGGCUGCAGCAAAUACGUAAUCGUGUGUUGUCUCCGUGAUGCAGAUAUGAGUAUUUUGUACUCGUAUCGUUUGGUCGACAAUGUACUCGAAUUUUGAUCCUGAUGGGAUUUUGGAUGAAUUGUCCUUCCUGUUGGGUGGUGUUAAGUAAUCCGAAAGGGCUUUCGAUUGGACUAUCUGGUUUCUCCUGACGUAGCGUGAUCUGUUCCGCUACACAAUUUAGUGUUUGGUAU